AAAAAUGAUUUGUCAUCAUUUGCUGACAGGUAAACAAGAAAAAUAUGAAUUGUCAAUGAAUCAAGUUGGAGACAUUUCAAGCAAAUCUCUGAGAGAAUCAAUAUUAUGUCAAGGUUUAUUCCAUAUCUUCAUUAAUGAUCCAGAAAUACAGCGAGCAUCAGAGAAGACUGACAUAUAAAACAAAGGCAUUGAGAAGAGCUCUUCCUUAUGGAGCAAAAGAUGCUGGAGCACUUCAUUUCCUUGAGAAGAACUGCUGUGCCCGGAAACCCAAACAACGAGGCUGCGCCACAGAAACUGUCUCAUGUUCUUUCUGCUUAAGCUCUGAUGAUAUUGAUGACUUCUGACUCAAAGGGAACUAAAAGAAAAGCCUUUUCAUAUGUUGGAUUUGGCCACAAAGGAGGUGAAGGGUGUUUCCUUUCAGGCUACUGCUGCAGCCAGCAAAGAGGUACCAUGCAGCCCUGCUGUGUGCCCCUGCUUAAUCAGGUACUGCCCAUGGCAGCAAGGCUGUUCCAGUCCUGCACUGCCACGAUGCGGCGCUGCAUUAAUUCCCCACCGUCCUCUCCCGAYCGUCUGUCUUCCAUACUUUGGCUCACUGGCACCUACUUACUUCAGAGUUAGUGACAGCAAAUGGAAAGUGCCCAGGGAUAUUACUGCCACGUGAGCUACCAGGAACUGUAUCAUUAUAUGACACUGAGAAACCUUUAAAAAUAAGGAAUGAUACAUUUAUGAAAUGAUCUUGUUUCACAAAUUCAGGCUGCAAUCUCUCCAAAAUUAAAGUCUCUUUUGUGUCUAUCAUUUCACUGAACCGCUGGAAAUUUGUCCAGCUAAACUCAGCUUUAAUACUUUCCAUUGAACUGCCAAGUGAGCUUAUUUGAUCACAGUAAUCCUAUCUGAUGCAUUGUAUAUCAUCUGAUUAUGUUACUCACCCUGCCAAGSAGAGUCUGAUCUUGUCCUUCCUCCAAGCUUACAUCAGACCUGAGAGUGAUUCAGAAGGUACCACAGCACUGCACAUGGCUUCCCCUGCUCUCAGCGGGAGAUGGACAGCUGAGAGGCUGUCUGGAUACGGCUCAUAGCAGAUCACACAGGCUGAGAGUGCUGUAACAGGAAAAAGAAGUCUGUGAAAAUCAUUUUAUUGUUGUUUCACAAUUUGUUCUGUUUGCCUUUUACUUAUUGCAUGAAACUUAACUUCGCUGUUUUGCAGAUAGAACCGUUACCCAUUUUUCCCCUGCAUAGAUUUAUAAAUGUUGUGUGACCUCUUGUGGUAUAACAAAAUACUACACAUACAAUCCGUGAAUAACACAGUUUAUGUAACCUGCAAUCUACCUACAGCCAAUCUGCCCUGAUGGCUGGAUUUCUAUUAACUAAAGGCUACCCGGUGGCUAUGAAACUCUCAGUUAACAGUGAAUCACAAUGGAAAAAUCUCCCUCCAUGUCAAUCAUCCAGUGAGUGCAUGUAAUGUGGGUAACUCUUAAUUGUUAGCCAGAUUUAAAUGUCAUCAACUACAGUUAUUCCUAAACAUGCUUAUUUUUGAUGAGACAUUUGAUGAGACAUAAAGUUCCACAUUUAGCAAUAACAUACAGAUGCUGAUACUGAAAAUGUAGCUUCAUUCCUGUCAUUAACGAUAUUUGGCACUGAAGAAAUAAAGUAAUUAACAAGCCUCUUGUGUUUGCUUGC
ensembl:lncRNA